GCUGGAGCAUUUAUAGUUUUGUACUGAGUGAUUUCGAGCAAAGUCGAAAUACUUUCAAACUGAUUUUUAACUGUUUGGAAAGGUUUUUGAAAUAAAAAGAAAAAAACAAAACAAAAGAAAAAGGAAAACUAUUCCCUCUGUUCUGGCCCGAAGGCCACCCCAUUCUCCCCUCUCGGCUUCGGCCCAAGCCAGCACCGCGGCCCGUUCCCCAACAAGCAGACCACCCACCAGCGCUAGCUUCGGCCCAGCAAGCAGAUGUGGAUGGCCUGCCCCGCGCCCUUCCCACUCCCCUCAGCGUGGGCCAAACCAGCAGGCCGGCCCCGUCCCCCCCUUUUUUCCUUCUUUGACUGACGUCUCGGGCCCACUCGUUAGGCACCUACUCUUCUUCAACCUCCAGUCGGAGCGGUGCAGGACUCCUGACCGGGCAGUAAAUCCCGAUUUCUCUAAGAUUUCGAGUUUAGGACGUAAUCAACUUCCCCAAUAAGACCCCUGGCACUUGCCGUGACCCCUAUUUCUAUCUUCCCAUCCCCGAAAGCCGCCCCGGAGCCGCUGUUGGAUCUCGCCGCAAGAAGAGGUAGAGCCACCGCCUGGGUCCUCGCUCUGAGGUGCUCAAAGGUCGUCAAAAACCGUAUACCGAGCUUCGCAUCGAUCCUUCGACGACACUGAGCCCUUUUCUUUGCUCCACAUCGGGUUUUGUGGAGCCCAAACCGCUGCCGAAGUUGGGACGGAAAACCCGAGCCGCCAUAGCGAGCACUGCACCACCCCCCGCGUCUUCCCCGCCCUUGUUCUCGGCC
rnacentral:lncRNA from 1 species